GAUGAACGCUGGCGGCGUGCCUAAUACAUGCAAGUCGAGCGGCAGCACGGUCUUCGGACUGGUGGCGAGCGGCGGACGGCUGAGUAACGCGUAGGAAUAUACCCCAAAGUGAGGGAUAACUGCCCGAAAGGGUGGCUAAUACCGCAUGUGGUCUUCGGACUAAAGCCUUCGGGCGCUUUGGGAAUAGCCUGCGUAAGAUUAGCUAGUUGGUGAGGUAAUGGCUCACCAAGGCGACGAUCUUUAGCUGGUCUGAGAGGAUGACCAGCCAGACUGGAACUGAGACACGGUCCAGACUCCUACGGGAGGCAGCAGUAGGGAAUUUUCCACAGUGGGCGAAAGCCUGAUGGAGCAACGCCGCGUGCAGGAUGAAAGGCCCUCGGGUCGUAAACUGCUUUUAUGUGCGAAGAAUAUGACGGUAACACAAUGAAUAAGGGUCGGCUAACUACGUGCCAG
rnacentral:rRNA from 1 species